rnacentral:rRNA from 1 species
CAGUAGCCACGGGAAUACGUAGGUGGCAAGCGUUGUCCGGAAUUAUUGGGCGUAAAGGGCUCGCAGGCGGUUUCUUAAGUCUGAUGUGAAAGCCCCCGGCUCAACCGGGGAGGGUCAUUAGAAACUGGGAAACUUGAGUGCAGAAGAGGAGAGUGGAAUUCCACGUGUAGCGGUGAAAUGCGUAGAGAUGUGGAGGAACACCAGUGGCGAAGGCGACUCUCUGGUCUGUAACUGACGCUGAGGAGCGAAAGCGUGGGGAGCGAACAGGAUUAGAUACCCCCGUAGUCCCUGUCUCUUAUAC